CACGAUCACGUAUGAUACGUCAUUUUCAAAGACCAUAUGGCGCGUGCUUCGUAUUUCAAGUCCAAUCAUCGUCGAGCGCUGAGGCCACAGAAUCCGACACGGUGCAUCUGUUCACAUUAAUUAUGAUUUCAAUUUUUGUACAGCCUAAGCACGCGUACACAUACGCGACCUAGUGAUAUAUGAUCCCAGUUGAUGGUGGAACUGACAACGUAUAAUAUGUCUAACCUUGGAUACGUAAUUACAUUGUUUUCAACCAGUGUUCAGAGUGUUUUUCCGUCACACAAUUUCAUAUUUUCACUCCUGCAGUAUAAAAGGACAGAAACAUCUUGUACAGGGAAAAUAUGUUUAAGUGUACCUGAUAAGCCUACUUCAAAGCUCUAUAUUCUUUUGUAUUUAUUCUACUAUUGUACAGUUACCCCUUGCAAUAUACCAAGACCACACUCCCGAGUCCUUUUAUCAAUACGACUUUUACACAGUUACGUUUAAUUAUAAUUAUAGAAAAGUAUACAUUUUUAUAUAUACUAAUAUUACUGAAGUAUACAUAUAAGUGAAUUAGUAAGAGAGUAACAAUUUUACUGUGUUUAUACUUAUUAUAGACUAAUAGUAUUUUAUGUACGGUAAUAAUAACGAAUACUUAUUAUUACGGUUUUGAAAUAUCUUUCAAUUAUUUAAACUUAAUACAUCAGAAAAAUAGUAAAUUCCUUAGAAAAAAUACAAUUCAAUUUUUUUCUCUUUACAAAACUGUAUAGUUUUACAAAAAUCACUACUUUUAAACACGAAAAUUUAUAAAUUAGAAGGAAUCUGUUUUCAAUUUAUAUCAAAAAAUAAUAAUAUAAAAUUUAAAAUUUAGUGAUAUUUUCAAAACCAUGACUAAAAAUCUUAUUUUAUCUUCUUACAAUAUUAACAUGCAGUCUUUUUUUAUCCUUUAUCGCCUUGAGCACACUCUUUUAUUGGGUGAUAUUCAGUUAUGUGAAAUAUCUACUUAAAAUCACAUCGUUGAGGGAAUGUAAGAUGUCGUUUGGUGGAAGUUUAUAUGGAUACAUGACAUGUUAAUUACAUUUAUAUUACAUGUAUUUACACAUUACACAUUACAUUUAUAAAUUUUGAAUUUUUUUACCAAAUUAA